rnacentral:piRNA from 1 species
UGGAAGAGUUGAUAUAGUUGGGAGAG